rnacentral:rRNA from 1 species
CAGCCGCCGCGGGAAAACGUAGGUGGCAAGCGUUGUCCGGAAUUAUUGGGCGUAAAGGGCUCGCAGGCGGUUUCUUAAGUCUGAUGUGAAAGCCCCCGGCUCAACCGGGGAGGGUCAUUGGAAACUGGGAAACUUGAGUGCAGAAGAGGAGAGUGGAAUUCCACGUGUAGCGGUGAAAUGCGUAGAGAUGUGGAGGAACACCAGUGGCGAAGGCGACUCUCUGGUCUGUAACUGACGCUGAGGAGCGAAAGCGUGGGGAGCGAACAGGAUUAGAGACCCCCGUAGUCCCUGUCUCUUAUAU